UGUUAAUUCAUGCCUAAAGUACAAUGUGUGUGAAAAAAAUACACAAAAAAUGACUACCUAAAUGUUUGACAAAGUCUGGUGGUAGAAUGAGUGCAUGGAAAGUGUUAAAAAAAACACAAUUUUAAAUACCCUAGGGUAUCUACUUUCCAAAAAUAUAUGGUUUGGUGUUGGUAAAAUACAUUGGCCGGCCUUACAAAAGUCCCAAAUAGGACAUGUGCGCAGGUUGACUACAUGUCAAAAUUCCAUGUUGAAAAAUGGAUAUGCACACCUGCCAAAUGUGGCCUUUUAUCCCCGAUACAACCCGACAAGCCUAUGCAUGGGUGGUAUCACUGUACUCAGGAGAUGUUGCUGAACACAUAUUGGGGUGUUGUUUGGCAGUGACACAUAACAGGAUCUGUAAGUUUAUACCUGAAUUGCAAUGUAUGUAAAAAAAAAAAAA